UACAGAGGGUGCAAGCGUUGUUCGGAAUUAUUGGGCGUAAAGGGUGCGUAGGCGGUGCGGUAAGUCUGUUGUGAAAUCUCCAAGCUCAACUUGGAGCCUGCAACGGAAACUGCCGUGCUUGAGUAUGGGAGAGGGAGGCGGAAUUUCCGGUGUAGCGGUGAAAUGCGUAGAUAUCGGAAGGAACAUCAGUGGCGAAAGCGG
rnacentral:rRNA from 1 species